GUCCGCGUAGAUUAGUGGUUAGAUCAUCACGUUGUGGCUGCCGCCUCGGCUCGCAAUCCCGUGGAAACCCAGGCUCGACUCCUGGCGCGGACA